rnacentral:lncRNA from 12 species
AAUAAAUUCGAUCAGUAAGUGGUGCAAUAGUAAUUUUAUAAUUAUUCAAACGCAUUAUUUUGACAAAUAAACAAUAUUUACAUAGUAAGACAACAUAACAUAUAGCCUAAUGUUUACGUUACCUGUGAACGAAGACUUGCAGUAUGGCUACGUUACUUCUGAAACGGGAGUAAGUUCAAGUCAAAUUCCGUAUUAUUUACAGGAUGCUUAUCAGUAUAUUUACUUAGCUCAUAGCUCAUGCCAUGUUAGCUUAUGCAUGCAACAAAUCUUGUAAAUUCCAACUACAGCAACUGUCAGUAAGUUUUUUUUAAUACAACCAGAGAAUGUCUAAUAUGGCGAGAAGUUUCACUCUCACUACACUUCCGGCUUCUGAACUGGUUGCAGUUCCACUCUGAUUCCAUAUGAGGGCGCUCACAGGACGAGUGCAGAAUGAAUGGAGGUCAAUGGCGGUAUACCCCUCAAAAUCCACUUUUCUCAGGAUAUAAUUUUUUGUCUAGUAAUUUGAAUGUUGUAUUCGAAAGGAGAUGCAAAGAAAUUACACAUUGCUGGGUGUUAGAUUUUUUUAGAGUCACUUAUUUGCUUUAAAAAGUCUUUUAAAAUGUCAAUGACAUCAUACGUUAAACGUUCAUUAGCAGAAUGCUAGCGUGUUAUGGGCAACAACAACUCAACCUGUAAGAAAUCGAAAGGACAUAAGUACUCGUUCAUUCAACUUUCGACCUAUAACCCAUGUUGAACUUGCAAAACCUACAAUCAGAUCUGAGAUUUCUCAACGGCAAUCGGGUGAAAGGGACAAAUUUAGCCGUCUAGCCCCAUAGACUCCCAUUCAUUUUGCACUCCUGGCGAUCGCCCCCAGUGGAACUCUGGUGGAACUGCAACCAAAAUUCGGUACAAUAGGACUUAAUAGGGAGUGGGAAGGCUCUCCGUAGACGGGCUCUGAGUACAUUAAAUAAUCUGAACAAAAAGCUUACAAUUCCAGAGGUUACAAAUAGGUUUGAAAAAAUUACAGUUUGAAAUUUUCAUUUACUUAUACCACAAUUUUUUGUUUGUUUGUUUGUUUUUUCAAACAAAAUGCAGUCAUUUCAAACAUGGUCGCCGAGUGAAAUUACUUGCCUUAAAGGGACUUUGGUUAGGUACUCUAGAUUAUCUUGUCUUUUUGUAUUUUAAAUCUUGAUUUAUACAUGCACAUAGCCCCAUGAAAACCUUUAUGUGAACAUAUCUAUCCAAUGAAAAGGUGCAAAGGAGUGAAUUCACAUUUUUUGACCCCCAUCUCCCCUGCGUAUUCUUCUACACCCAUGCCCAUGACCCAUUGUGUAGAUAUAAACUGCUUUAUCACCUGAAUUAAGUUAGCAUGUGUAACUAGCAUCAACCCUCACACAUCUUUAUUCAAUCAAUGGUUGAUUAGUUUGCUCCAAGGUUGUGUUGAUCAAUAUGUUUACAGCCUGUUUAAAGUCUGUGCCCUCAAAAUAAUCCAAUCAUAAACCCAUGACCUGAAGCACUGGAAUAGCAGGCCAGCAGUACGAAAAUUUACGUUUGGAAUUUUAUAUUCACCACUGGAGGGGAGUACUUUCCAUAUGAGCUGAAACUGCACUGCUGGAACUGUGUCAUAGCCCUGGUUUGUUUACAUCAGUCCUGCAGUUAAGAAACCAUUGAAGGGACAGUGCCCAUCUUAUCGCUAUCCUUCAGAACGACAACAUCAGUGCUACCAAUGGUUUGACACUUCAUAUUUCAUCAAACAAUUACAUGCAUGACAAUGAGGCAUUAAGAAA